CCUACGGGUUGCAGCAGUGCGGAAUUUUAGAUAAUGGAGGCAACUCUGAUCUAGCGACGCCGCGUGCAGGAAGAAGGUCUUCGGAUUGUAAACUGCUGUGGUAAGGGAAAAAUGUCAUGUAGAGUGGAAAGCUACAUGGAGGGAUGGUACCUUACUAGAAAGCCCCGGCUAACUACGUGCCAGCAGCCGCGGUAAUACGUAGGGGGCGAGCGUUACCCGGAAUCACUGGGCGUAAAGGGAGCGUAGGUGGCCUGACAUGUCAACUGUGAAAACCCGGAGCUCAACUCCGGACUUGCAGUUGAAACUGCCAGGCUUGAGGACGGUAGAGGAAGACGGAACUGCCAGUGUAGGGGUAAAAUCCUUAGAUAUUGGCAGGAACGCCGGUGACGAAGGUGGUUUUCUGGGCCGGUUCUGACACUGAUGCUCGAAAGCCAGGGGAGCGAACGGGAUUAGAUACCCUAGUAGUC
rnacentral:rRNA from 1 species